rnacentral:rRNA from 1 species
CGCACGGGUGCGUAACGCGUAUGCAAUCUACCUUUCACAGAGGGAUAGCCCAGAGAAAUUUGGAUUAAUACCUCAUAGUAUAGCAGUUUCGCAUGAAACCACUAUUAAAGUCACAACGGUGAAAGAUGAGCAUGCGUCCCAUUAGCUAGUUGGUAAGGUAACGGCUUACCAAGGCAACGAUGGGUAGGGGUCCUGAGAGGGAGAUCCCCCACACUGGUACUGAGACACGGACCAGACUCCUACGGGAGGCAGCAGUGAGGAAUAUUGGACAAUGGGCGCAAGCCUGAUCCAGCCAUGCCGCGUGCAGGAUGACGGUCCUAUGGAUUGUAAACUGCUUUUAUACGAGAAGAAACCCUCCGACGUGUCGGAGCUUGACGGUAUCGUAAGAAUAAGGAUCGGCUAACUCCGUGCCAGCAGCCGCGGUAAUACGGAGGAUCCAAGCGUUAUCCGGAAUCAUUGGGUUUAAAGGGUCCGUAGGCGGUCAGGUAAGUCAGUGGUGAAAGCCCAUCGCUCAACGGUGGAACGGCCAUUGAUACUGUCUGACUUGAAUUAUUAGGAAGUAACUAGAAUAUGUAGUGUAGCGGUGAAAUGCUUAGAGAUUACAUGGAAUACCAAUUGCGAAGGCAGGUUACUACUAAUGGAUUGACGCUGAUGGACGAAAGCGU